rnacentral:pre_miRNA from 1 species
CAGGUACUCCCUCCGUCCCAAAAUUCUUGUCUUAGAUUAGUCUAGAUACGGAUGUAUCUAAUACUAAAACAUGACUUGAUACAUCCGUAUUUAGACAAAUCUAAGACAGGAAUUUUGGGACGGAGGGAGUACAUC